UACGUAGGGGGCAAGCGUUGUCCGGAUUUAUUGGGCGUAAAGCGCGUGUAGGCGGCUAGGUAGGUCCGCUGUGAAAACUUGAGGCUCAACCUCAAGAGGUCGGUGGAAACCAUCUAGCUAGAGUCCGGAAGAGGAGAAUGGAAUUCCUGGUGUAGCGGUGAAAUGCGCAGAUAUCAGGAGGAACACCAAUGGCGAAGGCAGCACUCUGGGACGUGACUGACGCUGAGACGCGAAAGCGUGGGGAGCAAACAGG
rnacentral:rRNA from 1 species